GUUCUUAGUAAUCCUGUCAUAGCUGCCAUGUGCCACAUUUGCUUAGAUCUUCUUGCUGACCCUUCUAGAUGUUAACACCAUCUCUGUCAGGCCGCUCUUCUGAGGGCAGAGUAGAAAACACCGUUCCGAGUUAGGGCUCUCGGCACCCCCAGACUUUCUGCUGCGGCUGCAGAAGACUGGUGAUUCUCUGAAUCCAUUUCUGGUCCUUGAUGGUGAGAAUUGGAUCCGAAGAAAGCUGGUGGCAGCUCUCCUCUCCCAUCUGUCCUCUCUGAGAUGUAAGAAUGGGAGCUCUCCUUACCGCAGGCCAGUUCUUCCUUUCUACCUGGCUACACCGGUGCCCUGGCAUGCGUCUGCUCUGCUGCCCUCUGCUUUAAGUUUCUGAGUAAAGAUUUUCAGAAACAAAGGACUCUGCAUCAGCCUUAUCCACCAACCAAUGAAUCAGACUCUACCGGCCUCCUAAGAGUAAAAGGAUGAGUUACAACGUGGUCUUCCGCUUCUUUCUUGUGGAUUUUGCUCCUGAACAAGUUGAGGGAUCAGCAAAAUAGCAUAAACACUAGUUCAAUGA
rnacentral:lncRNA from 1 species